rnacentral:rRNA from 1 species
ACGGGUGAGUAACACGUAUCCAACCUGCCGUCUAUUCUUGGACAGCCUUCUGAAAGGAAGAUUAAUACAAGAUGGCAUCAUGAGUCCGCAUGUUCACAUGAUUAAAGGUAUUCCGGUAGACGAUGGGGAUGCGUUCCAUUAGAUAGUAGGCGGGGUAACGGCCCACCUAGUCUUCGAUGGAUAGGGGUUCUGAGAGGAAGGUCCCCCACAUUGGAACUGAGACACGGUCCAAACUCCUACGGGAGGCAGCAGUGAGGAAUAUUGGUCAAUGGGCGAGAGCCUGAACCAGCCAAGUAGCGUGAAGGAUGACUGCCCUAUGGGUUGUAAACUUCUUUUAUAAAGGAAUAAAGUCGGGUAUGCAUACCCGUUUGCAUGUACUUUAUGAAUAAGGAUCGGCUAACUCCGUGCCAGCAGCCGCGGUAAUACGGAGGAUCCGAGCGUUAUCCGGAUUUAUUGGGUUUAAAGGGAGCGUAGAUGGAUGUUUAAGUCAGUUGUGAAAGUUUGCGGCUCAACCGUAAAAUUGCAGUUGAUACUGGAUAUCUUGAGUGCAGUUGAGGCAGGCGGAAUUCGUGGUGUAGCGGUGAAAUGCUUAGAUAUCACGAAGAACUCCGAUUGCGGAGGCAGCCUGCUAAGCUGCAACUGACAUUGAGG